ACAGUGAGAAUGGGGAAAGUCAGCUAAAUGACAAGCAGUUGUUGAAACAAAUACUUGAUCAGAAUGGGGAAGUGAUAUGGGCUAGGAGCAACUAAGAGAGUCAUUUCAAGGUAAAUAGGAUUUGUGGCCGCCCUGUAAGAACACCCACACAAAGCCCCCGUUGUUCUUUUGAUCAGAGCAAAGAGAAGCAUGGAAUGAAGACCACCACAAGGAACAGUGAAGAGACGCUUGCCAACAGAAGAAAAGAAUUUAUCAACAGCCUUCGACUGUACAGGUCAUUCUAUGGAGGUCUAGCUGAUCAGCUUUGUGCUAAUGAAUUAGCUGCUGCAGAUGGACUUCCCUGCUGGAAUGGAGAAGAUAUAGCAAAAAGGUAUUUUAUGUGGUCUGUG
rnacentral:sRNA from 1 species